GACGAACGCUGGCGGCGUGCUUAACACAUGCAAGUCGAACGGAAAGGCCCUGCUUUUGUGGGGUGCUCGAGUGGCGAACGGGUGAGUAACACGUGAGUAACCUGCCCUUGACUUUGGGAUAACUUCAGGAAACUGGGGCUAAUACCGGAUAGGAGCUCUUGCUCCAUGGGGGGGGUUGGAAAGUUUCGGCGGUUGGGGAUGGACUCGCGGCUUAUCAGCUUGUUGGUGGGGUAGUGGCUUACCAAGGCUUUGACGGGUAGCCGGCCUGAGAGGGUGACCGGCCACAUUGGGACUGAGAUACGGCCCAGACUCCUACGGGAGGCAGCAGUGGGGAAUAUUGCACAAUGGGCGGAAGCCUGAUGCAGCAACGCCGCGUGCGGGAUGACGGCCUUCGGGUUGUAAACCGCUUUCGCCUGUGACGAAGCGUGAGUGACGGUAAUGGGUAAAGAAGCACCGGCUAACUACGUG
rnacentral:rRNA from 1 species